AUUAAAAUUACAAAUGAUGUCAUUAUCAAUUAAAACACCAAACUUUUCCAUCUCCCUAAUUGUAAAUUGCGCAGCAGCCAUAAAGCAGUCUCAGACUUCAACCUCCUCACCUCCCACCUUCAACCUCCAUCACCUUCCACCACCUUCAUCAUCCGAGUAACGAUUCCGACGAACAAUUCGCAUUUGCGACUAAAAAAUCACGAUCAAGUUGAAACAUGUCCCAAAAAAAAGUUAAAGGGAUACAUAAACAAGUGAAAGAGAAAAUGAUGGAUAUUAUUGAUUUGCACUCGGGAGGAUAUUACUGAUUUUCACAAUGGAAAGUGUUGUUAGUUUUAUGUAGCCUCUCAUGGAAAAUUUGGUUCUAGUUAGGCCGUUUUGUGAUCUAUAUUUUAUAAGCCAUAUAUAUCUCUACUGGCCAUAUAUAUGGUUCUAAUUAAUAUGAAAAAGAUUUCCAUGGGGUCAGCCUUA